UACAAUGGAGAGUUUGAUCCUGGCUCAGGAUGAACGCUAGCGGCAGGCCUAAUACAUGCAAGUCGAGGGGUAGAGGAAGCUUGCUUCCUUGAGACCGGCGCACGGGUGCGUAACGCGUAUGCAACCUACCUUUAUCUGGGGGAUAGCCCGGAGAAAUCCGGAUUAACACCGCAUAAAACCACAGUACGGCAUCGUGCAAUGGUCAAACAUUUAUGGGAUGAAGAUGGGCAUGCGUGACAUUAGCUAGUUGGCGGGGUAACGGCCCACCAAGGCGACGAUGUCUAGGGGAUCUGAGAGGAUGGCCCCCCACACUGGUACUGAGACACGGACCAGACUCCUACGGGAGGCAGCAGUAAGGAAUAUUGGUCAAUGGAGGCAACUCUGAACCAGCCA
rnacentral:rRNA from 1 species